rnacentral:lncRNA from 1 species
CCACUGUGGUGUAGGCCGGGGACCUGGAACUCAAGCUGCCGCCAACGCUGAGCCUCUGCGAGGGCCACUCCAUCGGCCAUGCCAGAGUCCUGCACCUGACCGGGCACCGGCCUGGAGUCAGGAGGCUGAGUGGGACCGGGGCAGCUCUACCAGGAAGAACCCAUCAAGUCCAGAGAAUGACCGCUGACAGCCGUCCACAAGAGGUGCCACAGGCCCCUGAGAGGACAGAGAGCUUCCCAGGUCUGUGGAUUCUCAGACCCGUGGACGGGAGGGAGGGUGCUUAGCUGCUGGGCUGCACCACCCGCACCCCAAACCUCCGAGGGAGGUCAGUGCCAUGACCCAUGGCCUCGGAGUAGUCACAAUCGGCGGCACCUGGACAGGGACCCCUUGCGUGCCUUGUUUGGGAGCAAUGGCCAUCUGCUGCAGAGACAGUCUGCAGUGGACUGGACACUGAGGUGGGAAGUGUGGACGGCCACCGACUGGCUUCUAGUCUGUCUUGGUGGGUUCUUCAGCAAUUGCUCCUUCACGGAAUCCAUGGCUACCACCUGUUCUCAGAGGGCACUGUCGGGGUCUCUUGGAUGCUCUUGGAAAAAGCUACUUGCCAUUUAUAACUUCUCAGCGUGGAAGUCAUGAAGCAGGACACUAACGAAUUGAAGAAAAUGAGUAGUGUCAUUAUGUCCACGAUUCUACAAAGAUACUGGCCUACUUCAACAGUAAACCCACUCAGAGGGAAAUUGCACGCAAUGGUGAUGGCUGGAGCCCCAGAGGCGCCGGGCACGGGUGGCCUUGCUGGCCUGCGCUUGGACGGCUCCCACGUCCUGAGAGGCAGGAGCAGGGCUCAGAGGGCCUGACCCCAUCUGCACCAGGAGUUUGGUUCUGUGCUUAGAGGAUGUGCUAAGGGCUGCCAGGGAAGGUGAGGCAUGUCCCACAGAGACACCGAGACUGCAGUCCACACUCUGGAUGGCCUCAAGACGGUGAGGUUCUUGGGGCAGAAGUAGAGGGACUUGGAACCACCCUCUGAAUCUCUAACAAGUGGCAGGAAAAAAGAAUCAGACGCUCCAACUGCGGGAGGAAGCAGUCCUUUUGGGGACUCGCAGUCCAACGUGGAGCGGCCUGACCAGCACAGGGCUCAGGGGAGUGAAUUCGGAGCUGCAGCCGCGGCCAGAACCUGGUCCCUGGGCGGUGAGUGUGCUGGACUCGCCUGUGGAUCACCCCGGGAGGUCUGCCUGGAGGUCUGAAGGUGUCCUCUGGCGGGUUUGGUGUGGCAGCCACACCCUCAGAGCCAUUCCUGAGGGACAGGAAACCAGAGGCUGGGAAAGCAGAGUGUGGGUCCUGCCUCCGGCCUCCAUGGAGGAGGCCCUCGGUGAGCAGAGGCUGCCCUGCCCCAAGGGCUGCUCAUGCCAAGCUCACCAGAAGAAUCGGAGAUGCCUCGACUUCCCGAGAGCUUUCCGCAGCCCAGGCCACCGUGAGGGGAGCAGGCUGCACUCCUCUAAGACCCAGGAGGCUCGCCCAUGGCAGACUAACACCCUUGGUGAUCCGCUCGCUUCUGCCCAUUUACUAGUAUCUGUGAAGAAGAUGACAAGCAGGUGUUAGUCUUGGGUCCUCAGGUCCGAACGCCUCACCCUGCUGCGGAAGUCCACACAGAAGCAGCCUUUCCCGCCAUUCUGGGCGCUGAACCCAGGCCUGGAUACAGAGCUGCAGGCCCCGCGUGGCGCCUGGGGCUGGCCUUCCUCACCAUCCGGCCUCCGCAGCGCCUCCGCCUGCGCCUUGGUGAGUCAAGAAGGGAUCCCGAGGGUCUCUGGAGAAGCCUACUUCAGGUUCCUGUGGAGGUGGGUGCUACUUCACUGCCAGGAGCUUGGGAUGGACGAAGGGCGCGCUCUGUGCUGUGCUUCGCUGCCUGUGAGCUCAGGAGCCGGGGGGCGCGUGGCAAAGCAGGGGAAGGCCACCUGAGGCCCAGCAGCAGCCUGAAGGAGAGUGAUGGGCAAGACGCAGGCUGGGCUCGGACCUGGGGCCCUGGAGGCACCUCAGAGACACAUCAUCAUGUGCAUACAAUUGGCACUCAGAGCAUGCUGGGGACACGCCAGUGCCAUCUGGUGCCAAUGGUGAAAUGCAAAGACUGAUCAUGUAGAGUUCUCUCACGUAUCGAGUUACUGCCGCGUAAUGUGUUGUCCACUGUCAGACACCGAAUAGCUGCAGCUGACCCUGACCCCGGGGAGCAGGAGGAGUGAGGGCUGAGGGAGACUCUGAUGAUCUCGGGAGCCAGCAGGCUUCUAUAAAGGACAUCGCUUCCAGCCUCGAAAUACACAGGAUCACUUACAGCUAAAGUGAAUAUGGAUCAGCUCAUGCUUUAAAGUUGAUAGCACUAACCCCUGAGUUUCUUAUUGACUUAAAACUAGACACACUCCAUUUUAAGGUGUUUUUGUCAAAGCUGAAUUUUAUAAAAGGUUUUGCCUUCCUUGGAGUUUUGUGAAGAAGUCAGCGCACGGUUCUGACCCAUGGUGCUGGAACAUGUCCAUUAACCAGCUCAGCCUGGGGCCAGAGACACCCGAUUAACAUGGUGGACACAGUGUCACAAUCACCACUUUCAAGUCACCAGCAGAUGCCAGCUGGCUCCACACCCUCCUGGAGUUCACCUGUCUGCCUUCCGAGGCUGGAAGAGACAGCUCCAGCACCAUCCUCAGUGCCACCCUCAAAACUUGAGCUUCUCAAGUAAAAAACUGAGCACUAAAAUAACACCCAUCAAUACAUAAGCAAGUGAAUGAAAAAUAAGAAACAUAAAUGGGCAACAGUAUAUGAACAAUGUGCACCACCAUUAGCAACCAGGGAAAUGCACAUCCCACCUGCACUGAGGUUCCUCCCCCAGGCAGCGUGGUAGUCGGCAGGAAUGCCAACAACAUAACUGCUGGAGAGGACGUGGGGGAAGAGGAGCAGGUCACAGUGCUGGUGGAGUGCAAAUUAGUGCCACCACCUGGAAAUCAGCAUGGAGGCUCCUCCAAAGACCAGGCCUGGAACCACCCCCUGGCCCAGCUUCCCCUCUCCUGGUACUGACCUAGAGAGGCAAUGUCGUCCUCCUACAGUGGUCUGUGCACACCGUGUUGACAGCAGCUCAACUCACAGGGGCCAGCCUCUGGAAGCAGCCCAGUGUCCAUCACUAGAGGAAUCAAUAAAGGAAAUGUGGUGUGUGCACACAGUGGAGGCUACUCAGCCAUAAGAAAAUGAGAUCAUCCAUCUUGGGGACAAUGAGUAGAACUGUGGGCAUCAUGGUAAGUGACCUCAGUCAGACUCAGAAGGGGAAGGGGGUCUGUUUUCUCUCCUAUGUGGAAGCCGGAGGAGAAACAGGGAGAGAAAGGUGGGGGAGACUCUCAUGGAGACCAAGGGAGAUCAGCAGAGGAGAGGGCCAGGGGGCGGGGAGAGGAAAGGACCGAUACUGGCCAAUGUACCUUGUGUGAAUGUACAAACAUGUCACAGUAAACCCCACCAUCACUGCAACUGCAACGCAC